ACGUUCCUGGCACUGGGGCUGUUAAUUGCUGACACCUGUUCCGGCUCCACCUCACCAGUAUAAAGGUUCCGUGCCUUUCAGCCUCCAGUGCCAGAACGUCUUGAGCCAACCCGGUGAGAACUUCCAGCCUUUUGAAUAACCUGUCUGUCAGUCUGAAGCCCGACCUGUUUUUGCCCUGUUUUUCGAGCCAGCCCUGCCCUUGUCGGAUCCUGUCUGCCCGCCCUGAGUUCUGCCUGUCAGUCUCUGGAUUUGGAUUGCUCACCCGUGUACCGACCUUCAGCCUGUGAGUACCUGAGAUUGCCUGUCCCCUAAACUGCCUGCUCUUUUGGAUUUUGACUCGGACCUGGACCUGGAACCCCCCUUUCGGAUUUGCCCUUGGAAACCUCUGCCUAAUCAAUCGCCUUCACGAUAUCGGACCCGGACUGGACUCGGACAAACGACCUUGGAUUAUCCCGCACGGACUCUGCCGCCCUCAGGGGCCAGAAGAAACACCGACAAGCCCACCCUCCACCAGGAGCUGCCAGCCGCCGAGCGUGAGCCGCACGCAGCAAGGGCCGUGCAACCCCUUCUUUUAAUAAAAUAUCAAAGCGUCA